UUUUCUGGCCACAUAAACCAUUUAAUCGGAGCAACUAUAGUUAGUUGUACUGAUUAGAAACACUCUAUAUAUUAUCAUUCUCAAACCCUACUUUAUGGGACUAUACUGGAUAGUUAUUGUUGUUAUUGUAUAGUUAUUUCUAUUAUCAGUGGUCAUGGCAAGAAUCUUGCAAUGGUGGAAGAUAGGACAUUGAAGAAACAAAGAUGAAAGGCUGGGUUUGUCGCUGCAAACGAAGAAUAAUUUGUCUUUUUUCCAUUAAAGCUGCCACAUGUCUUUUAUUUUAUUUGUUGAUUGCCACUUCAUUAGUGUAUGAGCUGCACGCACACGAUCUUUUCAUCAAGUUGUUCUGGAAGGGUUCAAUUAGUACAAUUUGAAUAUACUUCUACUGUUCAAUAUGUACAAACUCCACUGUAAGGGGUUGGUUUGGCGUGACGUACAAGAAGUACAGGGGUAAUAUAAAAAUUUUAAUAUUUUGUUUGAUUAGCUAAUUAGGUAUAAAUUAUCUCUGUAUUAAUUUUAAUACCUGUAGCUUUUUUCCCAUGGUUAACUCUUGGUUAGAAUCACUACACAUACCUAGGAAAAUAUAUCAAUCCAAAAAGAAAAAAGAUUCCUUAAAUUAGCAAGGGCUUAGUAUUACCGAUUAUUGUUGUUUUGGAGUGGAUGAUUAUUGUUGUAUUGGGGAGAUGUGAUUGGGCAUGACAUGGCUAAAAUGCGGGUUUCCGAGAAUAUGACCCUUGAUAGGAAAGUCUGGAAGUCUAGUAUCAGGAUUGUAGGAAAGGUUCCCCUAGAGUUUUCCGUCCUACUCACCCGGGGUUGGGUGAGGCUUGGCAGAGCUAUCCAUAGAUGAUUUGUGUUUUGGAUUGUGUCUCCAUUAUGAUAGUUAUUUAUGGUAGUUACUGUAUAAUAUUAUUGCAUGCUAUUUUAUUUAUGGUUCUUAUGUUUAAUUAAUUAUUUACGCUAUUUCUGUUGGACUUACUAAUGCUCUUUUGUUUUUGUUUUUGUUUUUAUUUUUGUUUUUGUUUUAUUUUUGGUUUUUUGUUUUUCCUUUUCUUCUCUGAGCCGAGGGUCGAUUGGAAACAGCCUCUCUGUCCUUUC
rnacentral:lncRNA from 1 species